CAUUAAAUGGCCGAAUAAAGCAUUGAUUUUUUAAAUCAAAAUAUAAUAGCACCACACUAUUUUUAAUGA
rnacentral:tRNA from 1 species